CUCGGAUUUUAUUUUUUGCAUUCCACUUAAUUACAUAAUCUGUCUUAAUUAUUCAUGCAACUUCUAAAAUAUUAUAAUUAGGUGAAAAGUUUCAAUGAGAAAAUUGUAAAGUAACAUGAAAAACUCCCUAUACAGCUUUCUGUUGCUCAAGACAUGCUACAUAAAAGUUUGUUUAAAGUAUGAGAGAAGCCUGCAAAUACGCACAAAGUGCCUCAAAUGGCCAGUCGCGUGGCAAUUUUUCAUGUAUUCACGGGUUACUUUCCAUCCUUGGGAAAACAAUAAUAAAUUACAGUUAACACAGAGCACUUAAACUUGGUCUUAGUCUUUGAUGAUCACAAGCACCUAUUUUACUGACUCACUGCACAUUUGUAAACAGCCGUCAAAACCGUGGUUCAGUUUGAGUUUAUUAAUCAUUCAACAAACAGUAAAUGGAUUACAGGUAACAUACAGACAAAGGUCUCAAAGUCAGACUGCAUUGUAAAAAUGUGGAAACAUGCGGAAAAAAAAUAUCAAACUGCAAAGAAAGGAUCAUAAGCAAUAACGAAAAAAAAAAAUAACUAGCAUUAUUGUGUGAAAUACAUCCUAACUAAGGAGGAACACCUGAGAAGUCAAAUACAAUGCUGCACUCACACAUGAAAGACUGACACAAUACACACAAAUAACUCUUAAUUCUCCUCCUUAAAAUGGAAGUCAAAUACAAUGCUAUAGUCACAUAUGAAAGAAUGACACAAUACAUAAAAAUAACACUCUUGAUUCUCAUCCUUAAAAUGGAAGUUGUGUUCUCGUAGCUCCCAUCUAAGUACAUUGGUCAGUGUCUUUCAGUAGAAGAAAAUUACUAAAACACACCAAAUUGGCCAUGCAGCCUGCAAACAAAGCACGACAUGCUUCAUGGGUACCAAAUCAUGCUGCAAGCAGCGAGCUCACAGCGCCCUCAUGCACAUCAUGGUGUCGUGCUUCUCAGCAGUGUCAAGCUCAGUAUAUAAAUUGAACUUUGUGUGAAUCCACACUAAAUAGAGUGAAAACCCAACAAAGAAAUGAACUUGACUCCUUACAGGCAGUCCAAGGUGCCAUCAAUAUGGGGCAAAAAAUGAGCAUAGUACUUGCACGUAAUCUUAUAGGGCAGUGUGUCUUAUAAACACAUCCAGCAAAGUGAACUUGAGUUGCCCCCUUCAUGUUCACACAAACCAGAUGUCAAGGGCACACUAAAGAGAAAUACUGCAUCAAUUUAGCCUGAUACAGUACUCUUUCAAAAUUCUAUUUUCAUAAAUUUUGUGGUAGAACAUUGUGGUAAAACCUUGGUAAAACAUUAUUAGUAGAGAAAAUGAACUUCAAAGUUUCCCUUUUUUGAAAUUCACGCUGAAACCUCGGCAACAGUACACCAGUGUGACGUCACAGAUUAUUUUACUUUUUUUUCAUAUUUCGGUCAUUACAACUAGGUGAAAUUUCUUUAAACUUGCUAAUUUCAGUCUUUGGCUCUUUUAGAAUACAAUACAGUUUAUCUUUACUGAUAAAAAAAUUGAACUAGGCCUGAGCAGACAUUUCCAAAACCAAUGAAGUCACGGUUAGCUGUUGCAGAAGGCAAUGUUGCCGACCAUCUUUUGUCUAUGCGUCUUUUUGGAUUAUCAAGCAUCCUCUCACCAUGAAGGUGGGUUUUUUGGUAUUGUAGAAGGGUAAUUUGCCAAUACAGCUCCCAUAAUUAUACCACCGGUGCCCCUAAGCCAAGACAGGUAAUGGGUGCACUACGAGAGUGAGUUGCCUUGAAGACUAUAUCAUUGCCAUGAACAGGAGAGGCCAAAGCAUGAACAGAAAAAGUAGACCCCUUCACUGACCUAACUCCACAACUCAUCUAUGUUUACCACUACUGAGAGAGUUCAGCAAAUCCAGCCACCAGUUUGAUCCAACCAACUACUUGACGCCAACACUUAGCUUUGAAAACAAUGAAGCAAUAAAUGCUGUUUCUGUCAAGUUCCCGUGAACAAAUUUCAUGUAGUAUCUUAUGGAGACAUUUUCUUUAACAGCACAACAGGAGAAAUACAUGGGCUGCGGAAGAAUGGCAUCACACCACCAUGAAACGUGUCACCUUUCUGAUGCCCCAUUGCCUGGGCCCUGGCACGAUGGGGCAUAAAUACCAGGGUGGCGCACAACUACUGACAUGCAGCCAGCAGGUGCUCCCAAUUUGUUUUGUGGUAAGGUAGAUGACAGGCGUGUUAUAAAAAGCACUACAGAAUGAAAAAUUCACCAUGUUGGUGGAACUGAAGUUGUGAACGAGAAGUCAAGCUGCUAGUUGAUCACAUGAGGAGGAAGCUGUUGAUUAUUGAGGUGUCCAUGACGCUCAAUACAAAGUAUAAAUGUAGGACAAGAAAACAAAAUGAAAAUGGAAACAUCUGCAGCAAAACAACUUUGUAUGGCGACAGUUAAAAAUGAGAGCAGGAAGACGAAAAGCCCCUUUUCCCUCCAGCGAGAGAAAAGGGCUGAAAAGCAGCAGUGCGGAUGUGUGAGGAGGCAUUCCUGAGACUUUCCAAGAGAAGCGUUCGUUUUGCUGUCAUCUCAAGAGCGAUUCAUGCUUCUUUUCAUGUCCUUUUUUUUUUUUUUUUGGCCUUAUGUGGGCAAAAAUGUGAAAUAAGCCAAGUUAAUAAACCAAGGUGGUAGCAGUGGAGGGCAAAGAACGUGGAACUUAUCACUCUUCUGUGCUUCCCAGGUUGGUUGGUGGCCCAACACUGCUACAACAGGCCUGCAGUACAAACCGAACUUUUCUUGGAUCUGCCCAGUUGCUUCCAUCUUCAGUACUGUGCGACUUGCCAAAAGCCUUUUAUCGCCUCUGCUAACCUGGACAUUUGAACUUCACACCUUCUGUACGCAAGCCGGACGUGUGCUGCCACCGUCGUCAACAAAGUGCAGCUCGUAACUGAGCCAGGGGCGUUUCCAAUCAUAGUGGCGGUAGCGGUGGAGCGCAAAGGACACAGCACUUAUUGCUCUGCUGUGUUUCCCAGGUUGGUUUCUUUCUCUCCAUUACUCAUCUUGCAACGUGCUCUUUCUGCUAUCACCAAUCUACAAAUUUGUGCUCAUUUGUUGUUAUUGACUGCCCUAUUUCAGAAAACCAUAAACCUGUAAAAUUGCAAAACUGUCGCGUUGCUGUGCAUGCCGCUUUGAGACAGAUGACGAGGAAUUGUUUCUGACUUUGGUGAGUUUUCACACAAUGUGACUUUUCGUAUCACAGCGGUACCUGCUCAGGCGCUGCUGAAAGUGCUAAGUGCUAUUAAUAGCAAAAGAGGUCAAUAUAGAAAGCCUUGGAAGUGCAAGUCUCGCAAACAUACAGGAAGUAAAAGCUCUUCCUCUGCCAAAGCCUCUAAGAAUGAAAAUGAAAUAAACAAACUUGCUGAAAUGGACCAAAAGCUAAACUUGCUUGUUAAUAUGGCAAACAAGGUAGAUGCAAUUGAACAGCACAUCUAAACACCUUCCGAUCACUUUGAUGAAAUUCAAAGAAAGCUCAGGAGACAUGAAAAAGAAAGAAACACUGUCAAAUAACUCGUUCAGGUUCAGGCUGACAUAGAUGCACUUGAGUGACAUAGCAUACUUCUGAGCACCGAAAUACAUGGAGUACCUCAGGCUGAUGGUGAAAACCUAUACGAAAAGGUAAAGUAUCUUGCACAGAAGCUUGAACUUGAACCUCUCUCUGAGGAAGAUGUUGUGGCUGUCCAUAGGCUUCCAGCAAAGCAAGGAAAAAUGUGCGGAAUUAUUGUCUGCCUCGUGCAGCAGGAACUCAGGGAUGCAUGGAUUGCCGAAAGGUGAGCCUUAAGGGACAGUCAGGACAACAUCUUCAUAAAUGAAAACCUAACCUCUCGCUCGAAGAAGCUCCUUGCCACUGCCAAAAAAUGGGCAAAGGAAGCGGGCUACAAGUUUGUGUGGCACUCAAAUGGAAAAGUUCUCGUGCACACGGUGAAUCGGCAGAUGUCGUUAAGAAUGAAAAUUAUCUUCGUGCUCUGUUGGAAUAAAUGCCAACUUCUCACUGCUAUCAUUUAACUCUUCGGCAAAACGAAUCAUUUCGGAUUUCUUGGCAAGGAGGAUUGGUUCACUUCUUUGGCCAAUCAAAAGAAGGGACUAUCUUUCCUACACAUGAACGUUCAGUCUCCGACAAGCUACCUGAAUUAGAAACAUAUUUUUCUGAUAUAAAUAGCUAGUGCAAUGUAGUCAUGCUGAGUGAAAUAUGGUAUUGCUCCAAUAAUGUCUUUCACCUGCCUUGCAAAAGAAGUAUUUCAUAAAAACCGAAUCACACAUCGUGGUGGAGGAGUAUGUGUUUUGAUAGAUAAUUCUCUAAUCAUAUGAACUCUUAGCCAAGUACUCUUGUAUAACAGAAAACUGUGAAAGGUCGUGUGUCCCAACACCAGGUGUACCCUUGCGGUACGUUACCACCCGCUGAACGAUUUAUUGGAACUUUUUUUUUUUUGGAGUACAUGCUAAAAUUUGCAUCAGAAAACAAAUAUAAAGUGGUCUUAAGAGGAGACUAACAUUGAUAUGAGUUCCAAUAAUGCUAAGCAAACAACACUUCAAAGAAUUCUUGUGUCAAGCGGAUGUAUAAAUGGAAACUUUUACGGGAAUAACAGAAACUAUGAAAACCACUCUUGAUCUUUUUAUAAAGAACUAUAAUCCAUUCUUAGUAACUUGUGGAGUCUUAAACUGCCCGCUUAGUGACCACAUGCCAAAAGUCAUGUUUAUCCACACAAAAGCAAAUGAAACUGAAAAAGGUAACACUGAAAAAACAUUUCAGACAAUAAACAAGCACAUGUUAGCUGCCUUUCAAGAUGCUGAGACAAGUAUCUUGGAAGGAGGUUUCUCAACAAAAUGAGGCUGAGCCAACGUACAACGUUUUCUUUAAAAAGUUCUCAGCUGUUUACGUGCAACAUUUCAUACACAA